rnacentral:rRNA from 1 species
AAGUAUAAAAGUAUUUUAUACUGUGAAACUGCGAAUAGGCUCAUUAAAUCAGUUAUAGUUUAUUUGAUGGUGCCUUCUUCUAGGAUACCCGUAGUAAAUUUAGAAGUAAAUCCAGCCCAAAUCCCCCCUUCCGGAAGGGCGGUUUUUAUUAGAUAAAAAAACGCCCGGGCUCUCACGAGUUUUCGGGGAAUUUCAAAAUAUUCGUGAAUAUCAUGGCCCGCAAGCGGGGAAUUUUCCUUUAAAAUUUUUCCCUAUCCACUUUUGAUGGUUAGAUAGAGGCCUUCCAUGGGCGUAACGGGGUACGGAGGAAUUGGGUUUGAUUUCGGAGAAGGAACCUGAGAAACGGGUUCCCCCUUCCAGGAAGGCCGCCGGGGGGCCAAUUUCCCCAUCCUGACUCCGGGAGGUAAUUGCAAUAAAUUACCAUUCCGGCGCAUUCAGGUCUGGUAAUUGGAAUGAGUACAUCUAAUCCC